GACACGGCUGCUUCUCAGUGGUGGCCCAGCCGAGAGGGAAACGGCAAAAAAGAAAGUGGUCAGCUUCCGUUUUUUGAGACCUUCCAGAAUCAGCCUGCUGAAAACAGCUCUUCACAUCUUGAAGUUCCCACUUUCAAAUAUAACGGCUGCGAGAUGACUUUUGCCAUGAUGAACUAUUUUGAGCAAUUUAGGAGAUACAUUAUCACCAAGCUUUCUCUUUCUCAUUAUUUCCUCCCUUAUCCCCGGUGCAUCGCUGCAAAGCCCCAAAUGGAGAGUUGUAAUUACCCAGACUGCCACCUGAUAGCAGACCUCUUUCUAUCAGCUUUAUCACUGCCGGUCCUGCUAACUCAUCACAGAGACAGAGGGGAAAGAAAAGGGGCCUGCUUGUGGCACAGAUAGCUCAUCUCUAAGAUACAUUUAUAGUUUCAGUCGGGAUCAGAGAAAACUGAUGCACCGAGGCAAUUUUUUUUUAUCCACCCCUUCCUUCAACCUCACAAAGACUGCUCUCUCUCAGUCCUCUCCCAGUCUCUCACUCUUUAUGUGGAAGCUGAACUGAGGCCCCUCUCACAAACAAAAAGUGAUCCAAUCUCCUUGAACCCAUGGCAAUGCAGCAACACAUGCUUUUUUGGUCUUUUAUAGAGGUGUUGUCGUCCUUCGGAGGAAUAAGAAAUAGAAAACUCCAAAAGGUGACUUGUUCAUAUUUAACAUUGCACAGCACAUCAAAGGCGCUUACAUUAAAUGGUUUCCAGCUUAUUAACCACCUUCGACCCUUGUUUAAGUUUUUCUCCUGUUCUGAAUGAGAGACGAAGAACUAAUCUACACGUUUCAACUAGACUGAAUAAAUUAAUAGAAACGACACUGCAAAGCUGGUAUCAAGGGUCAACAUUUAUUCAAUUUAUUAUUCUUUCAGGUACACGAGUUUGUAAAAUGGAAGGAUAAAUAAAGCACUCACAAGUCUGUCGUGCAAGAAAAACCUUUUGAGAUGUCUAGUUUUACUGUUUUGCAUAAAACAUUGUCUAUUGUGCUUUGGACCACAACUUUAGGCUGAAUGUGAUUUAUAAAAAAAAUAAAUACAAUUACACCAAAGAGAAAAAGAUGAUUUAAUCAAGUUUGAAACAAAAAAACCUGUUGUUGAACAGGGACUAUUUAUUAGUGAACAUUUCUUUAACUUUUGUGUAGAAUAUAGCACAAGUUUAGAACUAAAAUUUCUAUUUUGUGAAAUAAUUUUGUGCAUUAUCUCAAUUUACAUGAAUUAGAUUGUUUGUAAAACUGGCUUGUUAAUUUUCUGACAGAUACUAGAACCAAAAGUUUAUAAUUACCUGCCAAUUCAAAGUGCAAGCAUGAGUUGGUGUGGUGCGGGCUCAUAGAUGCACUUCCUUUAUCACUUGUGACAAUGAAGGGGGGCUUUUGAGCGUCCACUCAUCAGUAAGUCAAAAGAAACAGCUCGAGCCACUUUGACCUUCAUCAAAUGGGAAGAUUGUGAGGACGCAUUGGAACUUCUAUGGUUCCAAUGGCCUGAGCGCCUUCUGACAGGGGGCACUCUAACGUGGCUUGAAAGGAGAAAUCAAUCUUAUUUGAGGAGAUUAAGUGACCAGGAUAAUAACCAUGACAUUGAGGGUGAGAAGAGAGAGAGAGAAAAACACUUCCACUUCUCAUAAUAGUGAAAUAACGCAGCUUCUGCCCUCGAUUCAUUCUUGUGGCUAAAUGUCAUUGCUUCCUAGAUGAGCAUUUUCACGAAAGCGUUGUCUUACACAGGAUUCAUUCACAUUUUUUCAUUUCAAAAUCCAAUACAUCGUCAAAUUCAGACUUAGGCUGCAUUUGACUCUUUUAAAGAUAAAAACAAAAAUGUAAUAUGAACUUAUGGCAGAUAUUGCUAUAGCUGACUUUAAAUACUAAACCUUAAAAACAACUACUGGAUGGAUGGACGGACGGACGGGCGGAUGGGUGGAUGGUAAAAUUGAAAUAUUUUUCCAUAGGAGAACACCUUAACCAACUUCUAUUGCUGUCUUGGCCAAAUAGGAACCAUGGUUACAAAUAUCAGGGAUUGAACAUGUGAUCAUCCCAACAACUGCGGUACAUGGUUAAAUGCAUAAAACAGUAGGAAAAAGGAUAUUUACACCUUUCUCCUGUUUUUUUUUUUUGUUUGUUUGUUUUUGCAUCUGAACAUACAGUAUGUGAGUGUGUGUGCACAUGUUUCUCCUAAGCGCCAGCUUGAAUGACAGUAUGAUCAAUGGGAGGGCAAGUGUCCUGUCAGCACCUUGUGUUUGGGUGAAGAGAGGGGGGUCUGCCACAGGCUGUCUCAGGUGAUCUCAUUAUUUGACAGGCACAGCAGAGGACAGCCUGCAUUCAUACUCCUGCCUCUCAUGUUGGUCGCCUAAUCAGGCCGUUUUUCAUGCACAGGAGCACUUAUAGAAAUUAUUGAUCACAUUUUGACACAGUAUUCUCCCCUCUCCAUGAUCAGCGACAUACUCCUUCCACAGUACACACAGUACAACCCGACAACAUCAUUAGAUGCCUCUGCAAAGUGAUAACACUUAUCAGCAUUCAAAAAAAAAAAAAAACAGGCAGCCUGGGUUAAUAUGUUAAGAUGUUUGCCUAAUGAUUUUAAGUAAUCUGUUUAUUUCUAGUGUUUAUCUAAACAGCCUGUGAGAGGAGGGGGUAGCAGCCAAGCAAGGAACAUGGCUUUUCAAAAUCAAAGACUUCAAAGCAGCUAAUUAUCUGCGUGAAGAUUAAUGAAUUACUCUUACGAUUGCUCUUCUUACAUUUUCACUUUUGCAUUUUUUUCAUGUCAGGUUAAAGAAAAUACCCGUGCAGAGUAACAUUCUGGAUAGAUAGCAAAACCAAAGGGCAGGACCCUGCAAGAGUCAGAUUGUCAUCCCAUGGGAUGUUUGCUGGAAGAUGAUGUGACACGCCUAAAGAGCAAAUCUUUGUCAAGCGGCCCCUGAGGGCUAUUUGCAUUUAGCAGCAUGAGCCAAAAGUAUCCCCUCUGUUCAGAUUAAGCCUCGCCAAGAGGGUCAAGUGAAAUCAAUAUGGUAAUCCAUAAUUUGUCCUAUAUGAUAAUUACUAAAAGGAGAAAAAGUAAUUAAAGAAGACAUUAAUUUACCUCUUAGAUUUUGUGCUACGGAUGGAUGGAUGGAUGGAUGGAUGGAUGGAUGGAUGGAUUUUUUUCAUUUGUUAAAGAAAAUAACCCUGCAGAGCAACAUUCUAAAUAGACAGCUAAACCAAAGGGCAGGACCCUGCAAGAGUCUCCUAGUCAUCCCAUGGGAUGUUUGCUGGAAGAUGAUGUGGCAUGCCUAAAGAGCAAAUCUCUACCAAGCAGCCCCCCGAGGGCUGUUUGCAUUUAGCAGCACAAGCCAAAAGUAUCCCCUAUGUUUAGAUUAAGCCUCGCCAAGAGGGUCAAGUAAAAUCAAUACGGUAAUCCAUAAAUUGUCCUGUGUGAUAAUUACUAAGAGGAGAAACAGUAAUUACAGCAGACAUUAAUUUACUUCUUAGAUUUUGUGCCACGGGAGAGUUUCACCUAGCCUCAAUUCAUCUGGAGGCGAACCAUUCACAGUGGAAGCGUCCCUUUUUUUCAGCUCUUUUUCAGGAACAGUAGGUGCAUGCAAGCUUUCAGACAGAGCCCUUGGAUAUGCCAAAAGAUUGUUUGAAGGUUUUCAGACCCCUGUGUAGGACACUCCAGGGUUCUUACAUUGGUCAUUGAGGAGCAAAGUUUCGUAAAACACACACUUUUGUUCCUCUCUGACAAUGUGUCUUAAAAUAUUAGCAUAACAACAAUAUAAGAAAAUCUAUAUGGACUGUUGAGGGAUAACAUCUCUGUGUCCUCAGCCAAAGAUGCAUGGGGCGCCACACAAAUGGCACAAUACUCUAAUGGGGCGAUAAUCUGUAUACAUUUUGAUAUUUUUCUUUCCGUCCACUUUGAGGUAUGGCACAAACAUUGCACAGGCAUUCUUUUGUAAAACCCCAGAUGCAGCUGGUCCACCACUCACCGUGCACUGCCAAGUGCAAGAAAUGGGCUUCUUUUUACUGGGACGGAGCAAAUCUGGCCUAAUGUGUUUUGUGGUGAGUGUCCCAGGGAGCCCCCACUCUCCCAUUCUUUGGCCAUUCUUACCACUUUUCUCCCCUCCUGCAAGUGGGAUAAUUGCAUUUUAAUUGGAUGACAAGAAAUGAAAACUGUGUCUACAUUAUCUGGGAUUAUCUCUUUUAUUUCUCCCAGUCUGCCAUCAAUUCAACAAAGCCCAUUUAUCAGAACUGGGAAGCUGAUGCAUGAUCAGCUUUGAGCACCAGUUAGCAAAAUAAAGAGAAGGGGCCUAUGACAGAUAAGGGAGGGGCUAUGACAGCUGAGAAAAAAAUGCUCUUGAUAUCUUACCAAAACCAUAUGUUCUCAUAGCUAUCAUAACCUAACCAAAUUUAUAUUCAAAAUGCUUUU